rnacentral:rRNA from 1 species
AGAGUUUGAUCAUGGCUCAGAACGAACGUUAGCGGCGCGCCUAACACAUGCAAGUCGCACGAGAAAGGGCUUCGGCCCCGGUACAGUGGCGCACGGGUGAGUAAUACGUGGAUAACCUUCCCUCUGGCGGGGGAUAACCUUCCGAAAGGAGGGCUAAUACCGCAUAAGACCACGCCGACGAAAGUCGAAGCGGUCAAAGCAGGCCUCUAUACAUAAGCUUGCACCAGAGAAUGGGUCCACGGCCCAUCAGCUAGUUGGCAGGGUAAUGGCCUACCAAGGCGAAGACGGGUAGCUGGUCUGAGAGGAUGAUCAGCCACACUGGAACUGAGACACGGUCCAGACUCCUACGGGAGGCAGCAGUGGGGAAUCUUGCGCAAUGGGCGAAAGCCUGACGCAGCGACGCCGCGUGAGUGAUGAAGGCCUUCGGGUUGUAAAGCUCUGUGGGGAGAGAAGAAUAAGUGUUGGCUAAUAUCCAGCAUGAUGACGGUAUCUCCUUAGCAAGCACCGGCUAACUCUGUGCCAGCAGCCGCGGUAAUAC